rnacentral:misc_RNA from 1 species
GGACUUCCCAGAGUCUCCAGCACCUUGAUCAUGGAAGGUUGAACACAGCAUUUUAAAACAACCCAAAAAGGGGGAAAAAAAGAUUAAAAAAAUGGAAAUGGAAAAGGAACUGAAGCAUUUGAAAGCACUCAAAACAAAGAAAAGAAAUCAAUAUAUAAGCAGCAGUGCUAUAUUUCAAAUAGGGAGAACCAGAGUUCUAGGACCAAAGAUGCUAAAUUUGAAAGUGCAGGCUUACAUCCACAAGCACAAGCUCUUUAAGUUUUCAUCAUGCAUCAGAAAAUGGAGACUAUCUAUAUCUAAGUCAUUACAUUGAUGCUAAAACAGAGUUAUUAUCACUGGAAGCAUGAAGCACACAAGAAGAUAACUGAAGGAGAGCAGUAAAUAAAUUAAGAUAACCAAUUCACCUUAUAUUACCCUACAAUAUGGAAAUGCAAAGAACAAAUAGUUUUCACCAACACAACCGAGGAAAUUAAUGUUUAAGUCCUCAGUUAACAUUGUACUCUAUCCAAUAAAAAAAAUUUAAAACUGAUUAAAUUAAUAGUUAUUGUUUCUCUAUUUAUGACAUGGAUCCUCUCCAUGGAAAUCAUGCAUGGUGACCCCCUUUGCCCAUGUUGUUCUUAACCAUUUAAGUUCAAGUUUGCAACCUUGGAAAACUUCUGCUUCAUAGUUGCCAAAUAUUUAAUGCAAUCAGAAGGAAGUUUGAAUUGUAAGUACCAAGCAAUAGGAGUUUCUGAAC